rnacentral:rRNA from 1 species
GACGAACGCUGGCGGCGUGCUUAACACAUGCAAGUCGAACGGAAAGGCCCUGCUUUUGUGGGGUGCUCGAGUGGCGAACGGGUGAGUAACACGUGAGUAACCUGCCCUUGACUUUGGGAUAACUUCAGGAAACUGGGGCUAAUACCGGAUAGGAGCUCCUGCUGCAUGGUGGGGGUUGGAAAGUUUCGGCGGUUGGGGCUGGACUCGCGGCUUAUCAGCUUGUUGGUGGGGUAGUGGCUGACCAAGGCUUUGACGGGUAGCCGGCCUGAGAGGGUGACCGGCCACAUUGGGACUGCGAUACGGCCCAGACUCCUACGGGAGGCAGCAGUGGGGAAUAUUGCACAAUGGGCGGAAGCCUGAUGCAGCAACGCCGCGUGCGGGAUGACGGCCUUCGGGUUGUAAACCGCUUUCGCCUGUGACGAAGCGUGAGUGACGGUAAUGGGUAAAGAAGCACCGGCUAACUACGUG